rnacentral:tRNA from 1 species
GGAGGUAAAACUCAAGUGGCAGAGUGUGGGCUUAGCAUGCAUGAGGUCCUGGGUUCAAUCUCUAGUACCUCCU